rnacentral:rRNA from 1 species
UACGUAGGGCGCAAGCGUUGUCCGGAAUUAUUGGGCGUAAAGAGCUCGUAGGCGGCCUGUUACGUCUGCUGUGAAAUCCCGGGGCUUAACCCCGGGCGUGCAGUGGAUACGGGCAGGCUGGAGGCAGGCAGGGGAGAACGGAAUUCCUGGUGUAGCGGUGGAAUGCGCAGAUAUCAGGAGGAACACCGGUGGCGAAGGCGGGUCUCUGGGCCGUUACUGACGCUCAGGUGCGAAAGCCAGGGGAGCGAACGGG